rnacentral:rRNA from 1 species
AGCGAACGCUGGCGGCAGGCUUAACACAUGCAAGUCGAACGGGCAUAGCAAUAUGUCAGUGGCAGACGGGUGAGUAACGCGUGGGAACGUACCUUUUGGUUCGGAACAACACAGGGAAACUUGUGCUAAUACCGGAUAAGCCCUUACGGGGAAAGAUUUAUCGCCGAAAGAUCGGCCCGCAUCUGAUUAGCUAGUUGGUAGGGUUAUGGCCUACCAAGGCGACGAUCAGUAGCUGGUCUGAGAGGAUGAUCAGACACAUUGGGACUGAGACCCGGCCCAAAAUCCUACAGAAUGGAGCAGAGGCGGAUAUAGGACAACAGACUAAAUGCUGAACCACCCAGGCCUGGAGAGUGAUGUAGUCGCUAGAGAAGUGCAGCACGUUUGUACGGGAAGGUAAUGACGGUACCGAAAGAAUAAGCACCGGCUAACUUCGUG